GACGAACGCUGGCGGCGUGCUUAACACAUGCAAGUCGAACGGAAAGGCCCUGCUUUUGUGGGGUGCUCGAGUGGCGAACGGGUGAGUAACGCGUGAGUAACCUGCCCUUGACUUUGGGAUAACUUCAGGAAACUGGGGCUAAUACCGGAUAGGAGCUCCUGCUGCAUGGUGGGGGUUGGAAAGUUUCGGCGGUUGGGGAUGGACUCGCGGCUUAUCAGCUUGUUGGUGGGGUAGUGGCUUACCAAGGCUUUGACGGGUAGCCGGCCUGAGAGGGUGACCGGCCACAUUGGGACUGAGGUACGGCCCAGACUCCUACGGGAGGCAGCAGUGGGGAAUAUUGCACAAUGAGCGGAAGCCUGAUGCAGCAACGCCGCGUGCGGGAUGACGGCCUUCGGGUUGUAAACCGCUUUCGCCUGUGACGAAGCGUGAGUGACGGUAAUGGGUAAAGAAGCACCGGCUAACUACGUG
rnacentral:rRNA from 1 species